UGUUUCGACACACUAUCAUUAACUGAAUCCAUAGGUUAAUGAGGCGAACCGGGGGAACUGAAACAUCUAAGUACCCCGAGGAAAAGAAAUCAACCGAGAUUCCCCCAGUAGCGGCGAGCGAACGGGGAGGAGCCCAGAGCCUGAAUCAGUGUGUGUGUUAGUGGAAGCGUCUGGAAAGGCGCGCGAUACAGGGUGACAGCCCCGUACACAAAAAUGCACAUAUUGUGAGCUCGAUGAGUAGGGCGGGACACGUGGUAUCCUGUCUGAAUAUGGGGGGACCAUCCUCCAAGGCUAAAUACUCCUGACUGACCGAUAGUGAACCAGUACCGUGAGGGAAAGGCGAAAAGAACCCCGGCGAGGGGAGUGAAAAAGAACCUGAAACCGUGUACGUACAAGCAGUGGGAGCCUCUUAAUGGGGUGACUGCGUACCUUUUGUAUAAUGGGUCAGCGACUUAUAUUCUGUAGCAAGGUUAACCGAAUAGGGGAGCCGAAGGGAAACCGAGUCUUAACUGGGCGUUAAGUUGCAGGGUAUAGACCCGAAACCCGGUGAUCUAGCCAUGGGCAGGUUGAAGGUUGGGUAACACUAACUGGAGGACCGAACCGACUAAUGUUGAAAAAUUAGCGGAUGACUUGUGGCUGGGGGUGAAAGGCCAAUCAAACCGGGAGAUAGCUGGUUCUCCCCGAAAGCUAUUUAGGUAGCGCCUCGUGAAUUCAUCUCCGGGGGUAGAGCACUGUUUCGGCAAGGGGGUCAUCCCGACUUACCAACCCGAUGCAAACUGCGAAUACCGGAGAAUGUUAUCACGGGAGACACACGGCGGGUGCUAACGUCCGUCGUGAAGAGGGAAACAACCCAGACCGCCAGCUAAGGUCCCAAAGUCAUGGUUAAGUGGGAAACGAUGUGGGAAGGCCCAGACAGCCAGGAUGUUGGCUUAGAAGCAGCCAUCAUUUAAAGAAAGCGUAAUAGCUCACUGGUCGAGUCGGCCUGCGCGGAAGAUGUAACGGGGCUAAACCAUGCACCGAAGCUGCGGCAGCGACACUAUGUGUUGUUGGGUAGGGGAGCGUUCUGUAAGCCUGUGAAGGUGGCCUGUGAGGGUUGCUGGAGGUAUCAGAAGUGCGAAUGCUGACAUAAGUAACGAUAAAGCGGGUGAAAAGCCCGCUCGCCGGAAGACCAAGGGUUCCUGUCCAACGUUAAUCGGGGCAGGGUGAGUCGACCCCUAAGGCGAGGCCGAAAGGCGUAGUCGAUGGGAAACAGGUUAAUAUUCCUGUACUUGGUGUUACUGCGAAGGGGGGACGGAGAAGGCUAUGUUGGCCGGGCGACGGUUGUCCCGGUUUAAGCGUGUAGGCUGGUUUUCCAGGCAAAUCCGGAAAAUCAAGGCUGAGGCGUGAUGACGAGGCACUACGGUGCUGAAGCGACAAAUGCCCUGCUUCCAGGAAAAGCCUCUAAGCAUCAGGUAACAUCAAAUCGUACCCCAAACCGACACAGGUGGUCAGGUAGAGAAUACCAAGGCGCUUGAGAGAACUCGGGUGAAGGAACUAGGCAAAAUGGUGCCGUAACUUCGGGAGAAGGCACGCUGAUAUGUAGGUGAAGCGACUUGCUCGUGGAGCUGAAAUCAGUCGAAGAUACCAGCUGGCUGCAACUGUUUAUUAAAAACACAGCACUGUGCAAACACGAAAGUGGACGUAUACGGUGUGACGCCUGCCCGGUGCCGGAAGGUUAAUUGAUGGGGUUAGCGGUAACGCGAAGCUCUUGAUCGAAGCCCCGGUAAACGGCGGCCGUAACUAUAACGGUCCUAAGGUAGCGAAAUUCCUUGUCGGGUAAGUUCCGACCUGCACGAAUGGCGUAAUGAUGGCCAGGCUGUCUCCACCCGAGACUCAGUGAAAUUGAACUCGCUGUGAAGAUGCAGUGUACCCGCGGCAAGACGGAAAGACCCCGUGAACCUUUACUAUAGCUUGACACUGAACAUUGAGCCUUGAUGUGUAGGAUAGGUGGGAGGCUUUGAAGUGUGGACGCCAGUCUGCAUGGAGCCGACCUUGAAAUACCACCCUUUAAUGUUUGAUGUUCUAACGUGGGCCCCUUACCGGGGUUGCGGACAGUGUCUGGUGGGUAGUUUGACUGGGGCGGUCUCCUCCUAAAGAGUAACGGAGGAGCACGAAGGUUGGCUAAUCCUGGUCGGACAUCAGGAGGUUAGUGCAAUGGCAUAAGCCAGCUUGACUGCGAGCGUGACGGCGCGAGCAGGUGCGAAAGCAGGUCAUAGUGAUCCGGUGGUUCUGAAUGGAAGGGCCAUCGCUCAACGGAUAAAAGGUACUCCGGGGAUAACAGGCUGAUACCGCCCAAGAGUUCAUAUCGACGGCGGUGUUUGGCACCUCGAUGUCGGCUCAUCACAUCCUGGGGCUGAAGUAGGUCCCAAGGGUAUGGCUGUUCGCCAUUUAAAGUGGUACGCGAGCUGGGUUUAGAACGUCGUGAGACAGUUCGGUCCCUAUCUGCCGUGGGCGCUGGAGAACUGAGGGGGGCUGCUCCUAGUACGAGAGGACCGGAGUGGACGCAUCACUGGUGUUCGGGUUGUCAUGCCAAUGGCACUGCCCGGUAGCUAAAUGCGGAAGAGAUAAGUGCUGAAAGCAUCUAAGCACGAAACUUGCCCCGAGAUGAGUUCUCCCUGACUCCUUGAGAGUCCUGAAGGAACGUUGAAGACGACGACGUUGAUAGGCCGGGUGUGUAAGCGCAGCGAUGCGUUGAGCUAACCGGUACUAAUGAACCGUGAGGCUUAACCUU
rnacentral:rRNA from 1 species